UCUCUCGCUCCUCUUCAUCGCCUCUAUUCCGAUCGGGCUCCCUUUCUUGCCCCUUCCGUUCGCUAUCUGCUUCGAAACCCCAAUCUUUCCGGACUCUCAUUCCUUUAUUUUCGGUGAUUCCAAGCUAGAUUCUUUAUUUCUAGUUGUUUCUUAUGUUCUUCUGUCCUGCGAGAAUGUCAUUGCUGUUCUUACUGUGGGGUAUCGUCAAUGCUCUUCUUGUUCGGUUGACUCGGAAUUUUGCUUGUUCCGCCUGUUGCGCCGCCCAAUUGUCAAGAACUCCGUUUCCUCAUUCUUUACACUAUAAUUUAGGGUGUCUGUUUAGCUUGCCAUGGAGAUCAUGUUUUCUAAUCCAUAAAUGCCUCUGCUUUACAUGUAUACAAGAAUCCUCAACAAUAUUAUGCUUCUGAAGACAACUUGCAUCUCCGGGUAAUAGGGUUACUUUCUUGGCUCCAUGCUUUCAUCUUGUGUUAUGUGACUUUGAUCUUCUCGAUGAGGCCUUCUUUUAUUUUAUUAGCGAGCUUUUUGGUCGGUCAAAUUUGAACUGGAUUGGGUCAACAAGUUGUUGACCAGAAACGUCGUGUCUCGGGACUGAGAACCGAUCAAGGACCGUGUUCUUAACGAUUUCGAUCAGGGUUUACUGAAAGAGAAGUAUGUUUCGACCGUUCCGCAGUAAAAAUCCCUCUUCUUCAUGCGUGUUUAGUCAGAUACGAUAAGAGUGUAAGAGCAUCGCAGCGAGUUCUUUAAUUCUGACAAAGAAGUUGACUUCGUUGAAAGAUAGAUCAGAGGAUGGAAUGCGAGUGGUCAUCGCUAAUACUUGUGCUAUGCAUUAAAUAUCAAUUGUCCAUAUACUCAGAAGUCUUUGCUUUUAGUCUUUCUCCGUGGCACUAGCUCUUCGAGUAGUACUUUUGCUGGUCCUGGGUUUGUGCCUGUUGCACAGACCACAUUUUAUUCGUAGUUACAGCUCUCUGACAAAUUUAAUCUGUCCGCUAAUUAGCAGCUGAGACUGGGCCUAAGGGGCGGAAGCCACACCUGCACCUACAUUGUCAUUCAAGUGGUUGUAACAAGUGUUGUUUAGUCUACACUAAUUCCUCCAAGUGGUCAUUGAACCUACGUGACACCACAGAAAAUGUUGAUGAACAAGACAUGGCCUUUGUUCCUGUUUAAGCGAGCGAGAGUUGGCGCUACAACCGAGGGAAGAAGACAGAUUUGUAGGUGCGGAAGGCCGGAAAGAUCACUGAUCUGAUGUUAAUUGACGGCCGAAUGAUAGAUGGAAAGAAGAUAUUGCUGAAAAAUAUCGAAUGCGUACGACAACAAGCCAGGUAGUGACUCUGGCAAACUCACCAAGAGCAUGGAAUAUGAAACAUUUGGGUUGGGUACCUGCUCCAUCUGUCUCACCUGAACAUCAUAGUUAUGUCUCAAGUCAUCAUGUGUUGAAGCAUCAUAGACAUUUGCCUCCUGCUCGCUUACCAACCUCAAUUACUCCACCACAAACACAGGGUUCUAAAUCUUGGUUUCAUUGACCUGGUUUGGCUCAUGUUUUUUGGCCAAAACUAAGAAUUUAGCCGACUUUGUCGGUGAUGAUAAUUAUUGCGUAAUGUCGAUCACCAUGAUUAACUUUUGUUCACAUGACUUAUUGAUCUAUUUAUUUCUUCUUCUUGAACUUCAAACAGGUUGUGAAAUGUCCUGUUCUGAUCCACUCACUUCAACCCCAAUUGGUUCACCCUGUGGAUGUGUAUACCCUAUGCAAGUUGGAAUUGAUCUUGGUGUAGCACCCACCAUAUGAGUGAUUCUCUAGAAUUGCUGAGCUUGAAGUUGACGUUGUGUCUGGCACAUUUCUGAAACAAAGUCGAGUGAGAAUAAUGGGUGCCAGUGCUAGCAUGAAGGACAACAGUUAUUGUUGACUUGGUGCCUCCAGGUGAGAAAUUCGAUAAGACGACUGCACUUCUGACUUACGAAACAUUUUAUAUAUCUUAGACUUUUUAUAUUAUCACUGGACCACUUUUUAUAUAUCAGACUGUCAUUCCAUCCUCUUGAUUAUAUUAUCACUAGACCAUACAAGAAUCUACUCCAUAUGAGUUUGUCAA